rnacentral:tRNA from 1 species
UCCCUGGUCAUUUAGGUGGUAAAAAAUCUGCCUGCAAUGCAGAAGAUCCAGAUUCAAUCCCUGGGUUGGGAA